CGGGGCGUAGCGCAGUCUGGUAGCGCGUCAGCCUUGGGCGCUGAAAGUCGCCGGUUCAAAUCCGGCCGCCCCGACCA
rnacentral:tRNA from 1 species